AUUGAACGCUGGCGGCAUGCCUUACACAUGCAAGUCGAACGGUAACAGGUCUUCGGAUGCUGACGAGUGGCGAACGGGUGAGUGAUACAUCGGAACGUGCCUAGUAGUGGGGGAUAACUACUCGAAAGAGUGGCUAAUACCGCAUGAGAUCUACGGAUGAAAGCAGGGGAUCGAAAGACCUUGUGCUACUAGAGCGGCCGAUGGCAGAUUAGGUAGUGGGUGGGAUAAAAGCUUACCAAGCCGACGAUCUGUAGCUGGUCUGAGAGGACGAUCAGCCACACUGGGAAUGACACCCGGCCCAGGCUCCUACGGGAGGCAGCAGUGGGGAAUUUUGGACAAUGGGCGAAAGCCUGAUCCAGCAAUGCCGCGUGCAGGAUGAAGGCCUUCGGGUUGUAAACUGCUUUUGUACGGAACGAAAAGCCCCGGGUUAAUACCCUGGGGUCAUGACGGUACCGUAAGAAUAAGCACCGGCUAACUACGUGCCAGCCGCCGCCUGUAA
rnacentral:rRNA from 1 species